GACGAACGCUGGCGGCGUGCUUAACACAUGCAAGUCGAGCGGAAAGGCCACUUCGGUGGUACUCGAGCGGCGAACGGGUGAGUAACACGUGAGUAAUCUGCCCUUGGCUUUGGGAUAGCCACCGGAAACGGUGAUUAAUACCGGAUAUGACCACUUCUCGCAUGGGAUGGUGGUGGAAAGUUUUUCGGCCAGGGAUGUGCUCGCGGCCUAUCAGCUUGAUGGUGAGGUAAUGGCUCACCAUGGCUUCGACGGGUAGCCGGCCUGAGAGGGUGACCGGUCACACUGGGACUGAGGCACGGCCCAGACUCCUACGGGAGGCAGCAGUGGGGAAUAUUGGACAAUGGGCGGAAGCCUGAUCCAGCAACGCCGCGUGAGGGAUGACGGCCUUCGGGUUGUAAACCUCUUUCAGCAGGGACGAAGCGCAAGUGACGGUACCUGCAGAAGAAGCACCGGCCAACUACGUGCCAGCCGCCGCGGUAACAC
rnacentral:rRNA from 1 species